rnacentral:rRNA from 1 species
GCGUGCCUAAUACAUGCAAGUCGAGCGGACAGAUGGGUAGCUUGCCCUGAUGUUAGCGGCGGACGGGUGAGUAACACGUGGGUAACCUGCCUGUAAGACUGGGAUAACUCCGGGAAACCGGGGCUAAUACCGGAUGGUUGUUUGAACCGCAUGGUUCAAACAUAAAAGGUGGCUUCGGCUACCACUUACAGAUGGACCCGCGGCGCAUUAGCUAGUUGGUGAGGUAACGGCUCACCAAGGCAAACGAUGCGUAGCCGACCUGAGAGGGUGAUCGGCCACACUGGGACUGAGACACGGCCCAGACUCCUACGGGAGGCAGCAGUAGGGAAUCUUCCGCAAUGGACGAAAGUCUGACGGAGCAACGCCGCGUGAGUGAUGAAGGUUUUCGGAUCGUAAAGCUCUGUUGUUAGGGAAGAACAAGUACCGUUCGAAUAGGGCGGUACCUUGACGGUACCUAACCAGAAAGCCACGGCUAACUACGUGCCAGCAGCCGCGGUAAUACGUAGGUGGCAAGCGUUGUCCGGAAUUAUUGGGCGUAAAGGGCUCGCAGGCGGUUUCUUAAGUCUGAUGUGAAAGCCCCCGGCUCAACCGGGGAGGGUCAUUGGAAACUGGGGAACUUGAGUGCAGAAGAGGAGAGUGGAAUUCCACGUGUAGCGGUGAAAUGCGUAGAGAUGUGGAGGAACACCAGUGGCGAAGGCGACUCUCUGGUCUGUAACUGACGCUGAGGAGCGAAAGCGUGGGGAGCGAACAGGAUUAGAUACCCUGGUAGUCCACGCCGUAAACGAUGAGUGCUAAGUGUUAGGGGGGUUUCCGCCCCUUAGUGCUGCAGCUAACGCAUUAAGCACUCCGCCUGGGGAGUACGGUCGCAAGAACUGAAAACUUAAGGAAUUGACGGGGGCCCGCACAAGCC